UACAGAGACUGCAAGCGUUAUUCGGAUUCACUGGGCGUAAAGCGUGCGCAGGCGGUUGUUUAAGUCAGCUGUGAAAUCCCCGGGCUUAACCUGGGAAUGGCAGUUGAGACUGGACAGCUAGAGUGUGUCAGAGGGGGGUAGAAUUCCACGUGUAGCAGUGAAAUGCGUAGAGAUGUGGAGGAACACCGAUGGCGAAGGCAGCCCCCUGGGAUAACACUGACGCUCAUGCACGAAAGCGUGGGGAGCAAACAGG
rnacentral:rRNA from 1 species